AUUAAAUGAGCCGACAGGGCAGCCACGUCCACCUACAGGGGUUUAAUCCCUGCUGUGUGAUGAUGGUGACAGUGCCGAUACAGGAAGGAGGCAUGAAGAGGACAAACCCACUUUGUUUUCCAGGAGCAGUAACCUUUGCUUCAACGUUUCUCAUGGUAAAACACGGCAGGACGGAGCUGUAACACCUGCAUCUCCAGGCCCAUUUCACCAAAUGUACAACAUGCCAGCUUCACUUUGCAACAUGAGAUCAUUCCUCUCGUUCGUCAAAACAAACGUCAGCCGCUCGUCUGAGAACCUUGAAUCUGCAAACCCUGAGCUGUUAAUGCUGGUGUUCAGCUCAGACCUGUGCUGUAUUGGAAGCUGUAAAGCGGCUGUAAAGUAUGAAAGGCCUCACCAUCCUUAUUCUGACAUUAACUGCUGUUAAAUGCUGGAGAAACAUCCUCUGUAGUUAUUGAGCUGUUUGUCCUGACAGUGGAGUAACACUGACAUUUAACACAAACUGACAACAAGAGACCUGAUGGAUGAACUCGUCACAAUCUGUUUCAACAACAGCAUCGCUCUUUAUUCAUCAGCUUUAAUCAGCUCAAGUGUUCACACAUCCACAUCCACAGGCUGUCGGCUGAUUUGACCUCACUCUCUCUGGUUUGUGUUAUAUUUUUAUGUCCUCAGCAGUGACGCUGGGUGUUAUCAGUCUACAACAAAGACAGGUGGUGAAUAUCAAUCUUACCUCCUCCGAUCUCUCCAUUACAGUAAUAUAAAUAUGGGUCUGUUGUUUCCUUCAUAUCAACCUCCCCUCCAUCUGUCCAUAAUCAUUAUAGUCUCAUUAUAGUCCUCCACUUAAAAUCGUGGUUCUUUUGAUUGAUAAUGACAUAAACCUUUGUGUUGUUAAUGCACUUAUCCUAAAUCAUUUCUUCUUUCCUUUGCCUCAGGGUAUAAAGUAGUAUCUGUGCUCUGUGCAUUGCUGUUCCACUGUUUGACUGACUGACAGAGUUUAAUGACGUUGUGAUGGAGCGUGGGAUCAUGGGAGUUGUUGUGUUCAGAUUCCUUCAGUGUUGCUGGCUCCAGGAGCUGAAUCCUCCUCAGAGGUCUCCUCCUCUCCACAACAAACAGAGCAGCUGAUUCAAACCAGGAAAACUCUGAAUAAAACAGCUUCAUGUUAAAGAUCAGUGUUUCUCUGAUGACGUUAGCUCAGCUUGUUUCUAACUUCCGAUCCAGACGUCUGAAGUCUGAAGACUAAUGUUAAAAACAACCAAGUGCAUCUUAACAACCACAGCGCUGAUGCAACGAAACAGACUGUUACCCUGAUUAAAAUGACAGAUUUCACCAGGUUUGAAAAUCACUGAACACUUGGGGAUAAUCAGCAUCAUGAACGGUGCUGGUCAGACUGUGACAUUUACAGUAGAUAUCAGGUUGCUUUGUUGAGGUGGAGAGAUGAAAGUCCCCUUCAGGAUGACGCUGAUUAUCUCAUAACAGCAGCUCAGGUCAAAGCGUGGGAUUCGUUAGACGGUCAGUGAACAGUCGGUUGUCGUAUCAUCGUGUUGGAUGUUGGGACCUGUGUGUAGGUGUUGACAUGUGACCAGACGAGUGUGUUGAAGCAUCUCUGAAGUGACAGGGCUCGAGGGGUGCUCCUGCUCAGCAGGGACAAACCACGUACCGGUGAUAGGGCAUUAGGUGAUCUCGUCCAUGUUGACACAGGACUUAAAGGUUCUGCUGCUUGGGGUCAGGUACCACAGGGACCUCCAGAGGUCUUGAGUGGUUUGGCUGCACACUGAGGACAUGAGGCAGGUGUUCUGGUUCUAGUGUUUUGGUUCUUCAGGGUACGUCCUCUGAGGAUGCCAUGAGGAAACCAGUCCAACCACAGCAGCCAUUAGCCUCACUGUCUGUAUUAGAUCUAUGAGAGAGUGUUAGACAGAGUGGAACAUUAGGCAUCUCGACCAGGAGGAUAAACAGAGAGGAAAAUCAAAAGGAAACAUGGAAUAACCCUGACACACAGAGUGAGAUCAGUGCUGCAUCAGUGAGUGACACUGCACACUAUGCAUCAGUCCUCAUACUGUGUGCUGACUCUGUCUCUUGACCUUUGUUGAAUGUCAUAGCGUCUCUGUCUCUGACUGUGAGCUGGCUGCUAAUACACACAGACAAUAUCAAACUAUUCAAUGAAGGUUUAAAACCUAUUUCCAGUGUCUUUGUCCUCUAAUACGACCACAUGAUUUCAACAAUGAGGCAGGGACUUGGUUUAGACCAGUAGUUCACCUUUCACCUCCUAAAACGGCUCAUUGUCUGAGCUGAAUGUCACUAGAUUACUGUAUCACAUUAAUGUAACAAAAAUGAGCAGCACAAGUUUAAAAGUGACCACAGCUCAUAAAGACCACUUAAUGAAGAAAUGCCAACAGAAGGUUGGAUCUGUUAGCACAUUCAAAUGAGCUGAACACGU